rnacentral:sRNA from 1 species
GCAGUCACCGCCGCCGAGCCGUUGAAAUAGCUCGCCCACUGCGCCCGUGCGAUCCCGCUGCGACGUUACGCGACCUGUAAUCAGUUACCAGGCUCACAUCAACGCCGAAGAGAUUGACGACGUAGACGACGUAGAACUUAACUGGUACGGAACUGGUACUGGUACAAAGGGUAAUUAGCCAGCAUACCGAAAUUAAUAAGCCCGCAUCCAGCGUAAAUCGUUGCUGAUUGGCUGCAACUCUGAAGAGCUACGGAUGAAUUUAACUACAAGAGGAUUUUGCUGGCGAAAACAAACUGCAAAGCGAUUUAACACGAUAAUUUGUUGACAUAAAUCCAGAUAUUCGACAGGACUUUGCUAGUACCGGAAUUUCGCUUAAAUUAAGAAGCUAAAAUAAAUAUUAGUAGCGUUAGAUCAUAUUAGGCGUAUAAUUUUCAAUGUUUAUUACAUAAAUACAUUUAUUACAUAAAAGUUAUUCAUAGUUUUGAUAAUUUUAUAACCUUCCUCGAUAACUGAUAACUUUCUGUAAAAUAUGAAAGUGAAAUUACCAAAUAACUAAAAUAACUUCUGCAAGCUGAUGUAAUUUAAUCCAGUUUUAAAUGUAUUCCUCAUUAUUGGCACACCAGUUACAUUUUUUUUUGUUUUAAAACUUAAGCUUUUAACUUCUAAAAUAAGUUAGGGAUGAUGAAUGACAAAUUAUUGUAUAUUGACAAACUGCCAAACGUAAUUCCGGUACUGCAUUGUCCAAGUCUAAAAAUAAGUAGAUGCACAACAACACUGCACCAACUGCAAAAUCAUGUUCAAUCUACUGAAUAUUAGAUUUGCUCAAUCAUAAAAUAACUUUUGCAUGUUUUUAUUCUCAUUUUCAUUAUUAGUUUUAAAGAUAUAAUUAUGUGUUUAUUGUAAUACAUAUGUAUUUGCUUUACUUAUAAUACAAGACUAAUGUGAUUUCUGUGAUUUCGAUUUUCUGCUUCGUAAUUAGUGUUGUCACUAAUUGAAUUGUUGUCACUGAAUUAUUUACUUAUUACAAGAAACGAAGCAAUAAAUCGAAAUCAGAAACUGUUCAAAUACGAAUCGAAUGAUAAUAAAUAAAUAAAAGCACAAUAUUGGCACUGAGCCUACGCAGGUUUAUGCCUGAAACUGUAUGGUUCGAACCGUGAUAUUUUGAUGUGGUUUUAUAUUUUUAGAACAGGCAUUCAAUCGGGGCUUACAUACUAUCUGGGAUACACCCAGACUGCAAUUGGUAACAGAAUUUUUUUUUAAACCUCUUUAAGACAACGUUAAUACUACUAACAAAGUCUUAAAUCCUAUUUGGGAAGAACAAAACAUUUUAAAUUGAAGUCUGGGAGCACCCAAGAUCCAGAUUAUUACUUUUACUUUUUUAACAAAUCAUCCCACAUAACGCCAUUGUUUUGUUACAUGACAUACACUGUAGUAAAAUAUUAUUUACUUAUUAACCAAUUCAAGAUCUACAUUUAACUCAGUGCCAUUACUAGAAAGAAAUACGUUUGUGUAUAUACAGGGCAAAAUACGUAGUAGGUACAUCAGGUACACCCAGAUCCUUAUACCAAAUAAGUUCAACAGAUCUACUGAACCAAUCAGCAAUUGAAUAGCAGGACAGUUACUGAACCAAGUACUGAACUAAACUAAGUACUACCACCACUAGUACUGAAAUUUUAGUCUCCUAAAAGAUAAUAACAACGAUUCUGAUUUUUCUGAUCACUAAAAACUUCAACAGUACCUACUAAUCAAAGAAUGGAAAUACAAAAAUACACUUAUAGAAUUACAACAAGAUGAAUGAGAUAAAGAUACUCGAAGAAGUAAAUUCCACUAAAAGUCAAGAGUCAUGGGUGUGUGACUGUGCACACAGCUGGUUAGAAUUACAAAACAAAGUAAACACAACAGAAAAAUCAUAAAAACGAACACCCAAUUUUACACACCAUAGUAUCCACAUUUGUCAAAAUAAAAGAAAAAAAUUAUCGAAGAUGGUUCGAUCACAUGUAAUGACGCCCAAACGAUGAUAGCGUGAAGCUUAUCAGUAUCAGCUUUUCAUCAGCUUAUCAUUAAACGCUCAAUUCAAAUCAUCUUCUUGGGUUGCUAUAACUAUGUGAAUAACGACAUAGACACCCGGAAAAUUGUACCUAGACUAAACGGCAAUAGUAUACUACAAUACAUACCUAAGUAAGACUAAUAUAACUUAUAGAAUAACUUAUUAGAAAAAAAAAAAAAAAAAAAAAAAAAAAAAAA